UAGUAACUGCGAGUGAAGCGGGAAAAGCUCAAAUUUAAAAUCUGGUGGUCUUUUGGCCAUCCGAGUUGUAAUUUAGAGAAGCGUCUUCCGCGCUGGACCGUACACAAGUCUCCUGGAACGGAGCGUCAUAGAGGGUGAGAAUCCCGUCUUUGGUACGGACCCCCAGGGCUUCUGUGAUGCGCUCUCGAAGAGUCGAGUUGUUUGGGAAUGCAGCUCAAAAUGGGUGGUGAACUCCAUCUAAAGCUAAAUAUUGGCGAGAGACCGAUAGCGAACAAGUACCGUGAGGGAAAGAUGAAAAGCACUUUGGAAAGAGAGUGAAACAGUACGUGAAAUUGUUGAAAGGGAAACGCUUAAAGUCAGUCGCGUCCGCCGAGACUCAGCCUCGCUCCGGCUUGGUGUAUUUCUCGGUCGACGGGUCAGCAUCAAUUUUGUCCCUCGGAUAAUGGCGAGAGAAAGGUGGCACCUUUGCCGGUGUGUUAUAGUCUUUUGUCGCAUGCGAGGGGUGAGAUUGAGGAACUCAGCACGCGCGCCCUUCUGGGUGUGUCGGGGCCAAGGCCCACGCCACGUGCUUAGGAUGCUGGCGUAAUGGCUUUAAACGACCCGUCUUGAAACACGGACCAAGGAGUCUAACAUGCCCGCGAGUGUUCGGGUGGAAAACCCGUGCGCGUAAUGAAAGUGAAAGUUGGGACCUUCGUCGUGAAGGGCACCGACGCCCGGACCAGACCUUCUGUGACGGAUCUGCGGUGGAGCGUGCAUGUUGGGA
rnacentral:rRNA from 1 species